GUGCCAAAUAGCAAAAUCUUUACCUGCAGCUGUUACCAGGACUUAUGUCAGAAAAUUGCCUGCUGCCUCGGACUAGAAUUAGGCAUAAUGUUUACUGAAAAAUUGGGUGACUGGGAAAUAUCUGUGGAAAUUGGUGAGAGCGUACAUGGAGAGGAAGAUAUUUACAUGGUUUAGAGUGACUGUGGCAAAAUCAGUAGCAAUCUGUUGGAAUUUCUAAUCAUGAUUAAUGCCUGUAGAUUGCUGCAGCCAACUGGGUUACUACAUUUUACCCACAUUUCCCUUAUAACUGGGAACAUAAAAAAAAUAAAGCCAAGCCCCAGUUGUGACCAAAAUUGUUGCAAAUAUAGUGUGUACAGCAGACACUGAUCAUACCAUCCCUAUGACAUAUACACUCCUAAGAUUCAGGGCUUGUUGGCAUACCAACUCAUAACUUGUAUAUGAAGACAACUGGCAUAUUAUUCUUAAAGUGGAUGAAGAAUAAUAUUGCUCAGUGAAGAAAUUGUUUCUCACCUGUUGUUCAUGGAACUAAGAACAUAACCUCUAGUGAAGACCACAUGAAUGUGGCCUUUAUCAUGAUUCAUAAAGAUGAGAAGUAGGCCACGGACAAGCACCUCCUUGUAAUAUCAGGAAACACAAAAGAUCAACUGACCACUCUUGUGGGUUUCAAAGUGCCAACUGGCCUACUUUUUGCCAUUAAAGCCAUAGUAUUCUCUAUGAUGAAAAUACUUUAAUUUCAGGCUCUCCUGACUCAUGGAAUCUUUUCUGGCCUAGCCAUCUCUUGCAUCACUAAUUUGUGCCUUGAUGCAGUGAUAGUCACCAAUAUCAUACCUAUGGAGAGCAAGAUAAAUUAUUGCCUCAAAAUUAAACUGUUCAAUA
rnacentral:lncRNA from 1 species